GCUGGGCAUGGUGGUACAUGCCUGUAAUCCCAGUAACUCAGGAGACUGAGGCAGGAGGAUUACAAGUUCAAGGCCAGCCUUGGCAACAUAGUGAUACCCUGUCUCAA
rnacentral:sRNA from 1 species